AUAACAAAAUUGGUGGUAACCUUACAUUUACUCAUUAGCUUAUCAUUUGAUGAUGAGAUAUUGAUUGAUGCACGUCCACAAGAGAACGAUUGACAAAAGCGUAUGAGAAACUCCACCUUUUAAAAGUGUAAUAGUUAUAGCAGAAAAUGGAGUAAGAGAGGCCCCACUGUUGUUGCCACGUCUGUACCAGAAAGGGACUCCUGUGUCUUGGGCUACAAAUAUCUCAGAAAUGAUAUAAUGAUGGAAUGCUCACAUAUGUUCAUCAGUCUGGAGUCUGAAAACGAUUCUACUUUUUUAAAAGAGUGAACAGAUAAUGUCUGGAAGCAGCCGUUGCAAAAAUGGUACAGCAGGAAAAUAAGAAGCAGCAGUG
rnacentral:lncRNA from 1 species